UACGUAGGGCGCGAGCGUUGUCCGGAAUCAUUGGGCGUAAAGAGCUCGUAGGCGGUGUGUCACGUCGGCCGUGAAAACCUGGGGCUUAACUCUGGGCGUGCGGUCGAUACGGGCAUCACUAGAGUUCGGCAGGGGAGACUGGAAUUCCUGGUGUAGCGGUGAAAUGCGCAGAUAUCAGGAGGAACACCGGUGGCGAAGGCGGGUCUCUGGGCCGAUACUGACGCUGAGGAGCGAAAGCAUGGGUAGCGAACAGG
rnacentral:rRNA from 1 species